rnacentral:misc_RNA from 1 species
AAGUCCAAACAAGGCAUCCGUGGGUGAACCUGCGGAUGGAUCAUUACCAAAGGGUUAUAUCCACACGUAAAGUGAACUGUUUCGGUGAAAGUUUGCCGGCUGCCUUGCUUACCGCCUGCAUGUAAUGUAACUUAAGUUUGUUUAUAACAUGAACCAUUGGAUCUGGUGGCUCUU